rnacentral:rRNA from 1 species
CAAUAGCGUAUAUUAAAGUUGUUGCGGUUAAAAAGCUCGUAGUUGGAUUUCUGCUGAGAACGACCGGUCCGCCCUUUGGGUGUGUAUCUGGCUCUUUCUUGGCAUCUUCUUGGUGAACGUUGCUGCACUUGACUGUGUGGAGCGCUACCCAGGACUUUUACUUUGAGGAAAUUAGAGUGUUUCAAGCAGGCAUACGCCUUGAAUACAUUAGCAUGGAAUAAUAAGAUAGGACCUCGGUUCUAUUUUGUUGGUCUCUAGAGCUGAGGUAAUGAUUAAUAGGGAUAGUUGGGGGCAUUCGUAUUUAACUGUCAGAGGUGAAAUUCUUGGAUUUGUUAAAGACGGACUACCGCGAAAGCAUUUGCCAAGGAUGUUUUCAUUGA